UACGUAGGGGGCGAGCGUUGUCCGGAAUUACUGGGCGUAAAGAGCGCGUAGGCGGCUCGAUAAGUUCUGUGUGAAAGCCCCCGGCUCAACUGGGGAGGGUCGCGGAAAACUGUCGGGCUGGAGUGUCGGAGAGGGAAGUGGAAGUCCCGGAGUAGGGGUGAAAUCCGUAGAGACCGGGCCGAACACCAGUGGCGAAGGCGACUUCCUGGCCGACGACUGACGCUGAGGCGCGAAAGCGUGGGUAGCAAACAGG
rnacentral:rRNA from 1 species